rnacentral:rRNA from 1 species
AGCAGCCGCGGUAAUUCCAGCUCCAAUAGCGUAUAUUAAAGUUGUUGCAGUUAAAAAGCUCGUAGUUGAAUUUCGGGAUUUAUCCGUCGGUCGGGCUUUUGGGUCUGUACUGGCGUGAUGGAUUCCUACCUUCUGAAUAACCGGCAUGUCAUUAAUUUGGUGCGCCGGGGAAGCAGGACUGUUACCUUGAAAAAAUUAGAGUGCUUAAAGCAGGCUUAUGCCUGAAUACAUUAGCAUGGAAUAAUGAAAUAGGACGGCAUGGUUCUAUUUUGUUGGUUUCUAGGAUCAACGUAAUGAUUAAUAGGGAUAGUUGGGGGCAUUAGUAUUCAAUUGUCAGAGGUGAAAUUCUUGGAUUUAUUGAAGACUAACUACUGCGAAAGCAUUUGCCAAGGAUGUUUUCAUUAAUCAAGAACGAAAGUUAGGGGAUCGAAGACGAUCAGAUACCGUCGUAGUCUUAACCAUAAACUAUGCCGACUAGGGAUCGGAUGAUGUUAAUUUUUAAUGUACUCAUUCGGCGUCC